rnacentral:lncRNA from 1 species
ACCACUGCACUCCAGCCUGGGCAACAAAGCAACCCUGUCACAAAAAAGUUACACAGGUUAAAAAGUAAAAUGGUAAUAAACCCAGCACUUAAUGGUUCUCAACACUUUUUUUUAGUAUAUCCCCUUUUUCAGACCAUCUAGUGAAGAGUCCCAGUAUAGAAGCCAGGCAGGAGACAGCUGGUGUUCCGAACUCCACCCUGCCCUGUGGCGCCGGACUGGGAGUAAAGCUCACCUCCUGCUUUUCCUCAAACCAGUCCAUUAUUCUGCCUGUGAGAAAAGCAUGCUGCAAAGGAACACCACAGACCUGCCUUAAGAGCUUGUGUAUUUCAGUCCUGCGAAUGAUAGGAAAUAUUGUCAUGAGUUUGCUGGUCUCUUCAGUUCCUCCGGGAUCAAGCAGGCACUUGGGAAUCACAGUCACUUGGCUGCCCAGGUUCAUUUUUUAUACCAUCAUCGUUCAUCUGUCCAGUUCAUGACCCUGUCCAGGGGCAACCCCAACAAUGCCCUUGCCGUAACAGCUCUGUAAAGGAAGUACUACCGUAUCCCCAAGAUAAGAGACCAGAAAACUAAAGCACAAAAUGCUAUAUUCAACAUAAAAUCGACCAGGCGUGGUAGCUCACACCUGUAGUCCCAACACUUUGGGAGGCCAGGGCAGGUGGAUCACUUGAGGUCAGGAG